GAUGAACGCUGGCGGCGUGCUUAACACAUGCAAGUCGAACGGAAAGGCUCCUGCUUGCAGGGGUACUCGAGUGGCGAACGGGUGAGUAACACGUGGGUGAUCUGCCCUGCACUUCGGGAUAAGCCUGGGAAACUGGGUCUAAUACCGGAUAGGACGAUGGUUUGGAUGCCAUUGUGGAAAGUUUUUCGGUGUGGGAUGAGCUCGCGGCCUAUCAGCUUGUUGGUGGGGUAAUGGCCUACCAAGGCGUCGACGGGUAGCCGGCCUGAGAGGGUGUACGGCCACAUUGGGACUGAGAUACGGCCCAGACUCCGACGGGAGGCAGCAGUGGGGAAUAUUGCACAAUGGGCGCAAGCCUGAUGCAGCGACGCCGCGUGGGGGAUGACGGCCUUCGGGUUGUAAACUCCUUUCGCUAGGGACGAAGCGCAAGUGACGGUACCUGGAGAAGAAGCACCGGCUAACUACGUG
rnacentral:rRNA from 1 species